GGUUAUUUUUUGGUCCCUCAAGGUUGGUUUUUUAGGCCUUUGAAUCGAAAAGGGGUUGUAUAUUUCUAAACCUCUUUGAUCUUUUCUUUCUAAUCUUUCUUUCUAAAGGAACCAGCUAUUCUUUAAUUUGCUUAAGAAGCAGGUGGUGCUUUUUAUUUUAAUCUUGAUUUUUAAGAAUUUUAGUUUAGAAAUUUAGCUUGAGAAGGCAUGGCAGCUACAAUGGAUUUCUACAGUAGCAGACAUCUUCAAUCAGACCCCUUUGGGGGUGAGCUAAUGCAAGCACUUGAGCCUUUUAUGAGAAGUGCUUCCUCUUCAACUACCCCUUCUCCUUCUCCUUCUUCUACUCCUUCUAUUUCCUCUUCUUUACCUCCCCUUCCCUCAACUUCGUAUUCUCCUCAUGAUUACCUUUCUUUUUCCUCUUCUUCUUCUUCUCCUUCUCCUUCUCC
rnacentral:misc_RNA from 1 species